rnacentral:rRNA from 1 species
GACGAACGCUGGCGGCGUGCUUAACACAUGCAAGUCGAACGGUAAGGCCCUUCGGGGUACACGAGUGGCGAACGGGUGAGUAACACGUGGGUGAUCUGCCCUGCACUUCGGGAUAAGCCUGGGAAACUGGGUCUAAACCGGAUAGGACUCCGGACUGCAUGGUCUGGGGGGGAAAGCUUUUGCGGUGUGGGAUGGGCCCGCGGCCUAUCAGCUUGUUGGUGGGGGGAUGGCCUACCAAGGCGACGACGGGUAGCCGGCCUGAGAGGGUGACCGGCCACACUGGGACUGAGAUACGGCCCAGACUCCUACGGGAGGCAGCAGUGGGGAAUAUUGCACAAUGGGCGCAAGCCUGAUGCAGCGACGCCGCGUGAGGGAUGACGGCCUUCGGGUUGUAAACCUCUUUCAGCAUCGACGAAGCGAAAGUGACGGUAGGUGCAGAAGAAGGACCGGCCAACUACGUGCCAGCAGCCGCCGUAA